rnacentral:rRNA from 1 species
GACGAACGCUGGCGGCGUGCUUAACACAUGCAAGUCGAACGAGUGGCGAACGGGUGAGUAAUGUAUGGGGACUGCCCGAUAGAGGGGGAUAACUACUGGAAACGGUAGCUAAUACCGCAUACUAUCGGAUAACCCAUAUGGGAUUAGCUAGAAGGUGAGGUAAUGGCUCACCUAGGCGACGAUCCCUAGCUGGUCUGAGAGGAUGUUCAGCCACCCUGGGACUCGGACACGCCCCAGACUCCUCCGGAGGCAGCGUUGGGGAAGAUUGAACAAUGGGCGCAGGCCUGGUGCAGCCAUGCCACGUGUAUGACGAAGGCCCUCGGGUUGUACAGGACUUUCUGUCGGGAGGCGUUACCGACAGAAGAAGCACCGGCUAACUCCGUGCCAGCAGCCGCGGUAUUUC